rnacentral:rRNA from 1 species
CCGGUAUCCGCGUUGUAACCUCGAGACACGUUUUCCGUGCGGCGCUAUGGACAAGUUCCUUGGAACAGGACAUCGUAGAGGGUGAAAAUCCCGUACUUGCCAUGGAUGUACCGUGCUUUGCGAUACGUGCUCUAAGAGUCGAGUUGUUUGGGAUUGCAGCUCAAAAUGGGUGGUAGACUCCAUCUAAAGCUAAAUAUCGGGGAGAGACCGAUAGCGAACAAGUACCGUGAGGGAAAGAUGAAAAGCACUUUGGAAAGAGAGUUAAAAGUACGUGAAAUUGUCGAAAGGGAAGCGCUUGAAGUCAGCCAUGCCGCUCAGGACUCAGCCUGGCUUUUGCUUGGUGUAUUUCCUGGGUAGCAAGUCAGCAUUGGUUUGGAUCGUCGGAGAAGCAUAGUCGGAAUGUGGCGCCCUCGGGCGUGUUAUAGCCUUCUAUUGGAUACGACGAUCUAGACCAAGGAACGCAGCGCGCC